AAUCUCUUAUCGAGGAUCCAUUGGAGGGCAAGUCUGGUGCCAGCAGCCGCGGUAAUUCCAGCUCCAAUAGCGUAUAUUAAAGUUGUUGCAGUUAAAACGCUCGUAGUCGGAUUUCGAAGCACGCUCACGGGGUCGGUUCUUGCUGUUCCUGUGGGGGUGUCUUCUUAUUCUGGGACGCGGUGUGCGGGACUUGAUUGUCUCUGCAACAUCUGCGGGCCGGACGUUUACUGUGAAGAAAUUAGGGUGUUCAAAGCAGGCGUUUGCUAUGAAUACGUUGAGCAUGGAAUAAUAGAAUAGGACUUGGGCUCUAUUUUGUUGGUUUCCGGAGAACAAGUAAUGAUUAAUAGGGACAGUUGGGGGCAUUCCGUAUUUCAUUGUCAGAGGUUGAAAUUCUUGGAUUGAUGGAAGACGAACAACUGCGAAAGCAUCUGCCAAGGAUGUUUUCAUUGAUCAAGAACGAAAGUUAGGGGAUCGAAGACGAUCAGAUACCGUCGUA
rnacentral:rRNA from 1 species